UAUUAUUCAUUGUUUUUCUAUCCAUGUUUCUUUAACAAGAACAAAAUAAACAAUAGAAGAAAACAAAUUAAGCACAAACAUGUUUAAAUAGUCAAAAUUUAUUGGAUUCUGGAGUAUUUAGCAUGAUGUUCUUAGCCAUUCACAAGUAGAGUAGAGGGGCAGUUCCAAAUUUAUGUUUUGGAACAUCCCACUCGUACAAAGAGUGUUCUUAUAAGAUUUGUGUUUGAUUUUGUACACAUAGUUCAGAAAAAUCCAAGGACGACGAGGGACCAAGGCAGGACCUUAGAAGUAGAGGAUUGUGCUUAGUUCCGAUAGAAAGCACAUAUCCAGUGGCCAGUGAGACAACGGCCGAUUUCUAGACUCCAACCUUUGGAGGGACUUACAGGUAGAGGAGAAAGGAGCUAGGGUUUUCAUUUCAUAAUUGAGAGUGGUAGAUUAUAGGAGUUAAAAAAAGCACACAUGACUCCAAAAAUAACAAAAAAAAGAAAAAAAUUGCUAGAAAAAGAUAAGGAGAAAAAGAAGGAUAAAAAGAAUGGAGGAAGGGUGGCCCUUGAAAGACAAAGCUAGUCUGGGACAUCUUAUAAAGAGGAAUGAUGAAGGGUUGGCAAUUGAGUUUGAGAAUAAUUAGCAUAAUUUAAUAGUAACAGGUUGCUAAAUUUGGUAGAAAAUAAGGAGUGUGGAUAGUAAACCAAAUAGUAGCUGAAUUUAGCAAUGAGGGGAUUGUGGCGUUUGCUCAUGUUAAUUUGAUGUGUGUGUACAUUCUCUGAAACGUUAACAGAUAACAUAAAUUCCUACUACAUUCUCUCUAACAUAAAAAUAAUGGAGGAAGGGUGGCCCUUGAAAGGGGCUCAGCUGUACUUACACUCACAUAAAUGCCGUCUCUUAUAUUAUGCAUAAAGUUACACGAGUUUUUCUUGGGGCUUCUUCUGUUUUAUCAAACGGAACAGUUUACUCAAGAGUUGGAACAACAUGUGUUGCUAUGGUUGCUCAUGCAUUCCAUAUUCCAGUUCUGAUAUGCUGCGAGGCAUAUAAAUUUCAUGAGAGGGUGCAACUAGAUUCUAUAUGUUCUAAUGAACUUGGGGAUCCAGAUAUGAUUUCAAAGGUCACUGGAAGGCAAGAGUUGAAUCAUCUGGAUAAUUGGGCUGAAGAUGAGAAUCUUCAACUUCUAAACUUAAUUUAUGAUACGACACCUAAUGACUAUGUAUCAUUGAUUGUUACAGAUUACGGAAUGGGUAAUAAUUUGUUCUUUCGACAAGGGUAUAUGGUGAUCUUCCACUUUAUGACAUACUGAACGAAUUUCAGAAAGGGGUCACAGUCACAUGACUGUGGUUGUGAAGCGCAUGAAAGAUACUGAGGCAAAUAUGGAACAGAGCAAGAAGGAUAUAUAAAAAAAUGGAGGCCAUCAAAGUUGGAAACAUCUUCUAGGUGAUGGUAUUACUGGUAUGAAUCAUGGUAACCACUUCGUUUGUGUAGUUUUUCACUUGACUUAACCAUUUAAUAUCCGAGACAAUUAGCUCAUGAUCCGUAUAGACAAUUGCCUUACCCGUGGAUAUCCCAACAAUACAUUCUUUUAAUGACAUUCCAUCAUGUUAGCGUGAAAAUAAACUUAUUCUUGGCAUUAAUUCAACACCUUACCUAAUGAGUAUAUAUUGUACAUCCGUGUUCUUUAGUGAGAAGUAAAUGAAGAAUGAGCAUGAAGCAGUUAGAAACUUUCUUUAAUCAGGAGGUCAAUGAUAUGGUUGAGGAAUUGGUACGAUGUCAUUUUCACCUUGGAGAGUCCUUGCAUUCCUCUUACAUAUAGAACAACAACAACAAAGGAUGAGCAAGAACUUUUUUUUAGGCAAUCACCUUCAUUGACUCAUCAAACUCGAGAACAUGUGCAGGACUAGGUUAUCCAUGCAAGAUUAGGAGAGGUGGGGUAGACCGAGUCUUCUUUUGACGAUGAUUAGAGAUGAAAGAAUGUGUCUUCCACAAACUUUUAUUUUAAUUUGUUAUAGAUAGUUUCAUGUAUUUUUCUUUGGAACAAUUAGGAUAUUAACUCUUGUUAUUAGUAUUGAA